rnacentral:rRNA from 1 species
GCAAGUCGAACGGUAACAGCAGAGCUUGCUCUGGCUGACGAGUGGCGGACGGGUGAGUAAUAUAUAGGAAUCUGCCUAGUGGUGGGGGACAACGUAUGGAAACGUACGCUAAUACCGCAUACGCCCUUUGGGGGAAAACGGGGGAUCUUCGGACCUCGUGCCAUUAGAUGAGCCUAUAUCCAAUUAGCUAGUUGGUAGGGUAAGAGCCUACCAAGGCGACGAUCUCUAGCUGGUUUGAGAGGAUGAUC